GACGAACGCUGGCGGCGUGCCUAAUACAUGCAAGUCGACCUUAGUGGCGAACGGUUGCGUAACACGUGGGUAACCUGCCCCUCAGAAGGGGAUCACACUUGGAAACAGUUUCUAAUACCGUAUACUGAUGGAUUGACCCUCGGUGCAUUAGCUAGUUGGUGAGGUAACGGCUCACCAAGGCCACGAGGCAUAGCCGACCUGAGAGGGUGAUCGGCCACAUUGGGACUGAGACACGGCCCAAACUCCGACGGGAGGCAGCAGUAGGGAAUCUUCGGCAAUGGACGAAAGGCUGACCGAGCAACGCCGCGUGAGUGAAGAAGGUUUUCGGAGCGUAAAACUCUGUUGUUAGAGAAGCGGUAUCUAACCAGAAAGCCACGGCUAACUACGUGCCAGCAGCCGCGGUAAUAC
rnacentral:rRNA from 1 species